rnacentral:rRNA from 1 species
UACGAAGGGGGCUAGCGUUGUUCGGAAUUACUGGGCGGAAAGCGCACGUAGGCGGAUAUUUAAGUCAGGGGUGAAAUCCCAGAGCUCAACUCUGGAACUGCCUUUGAUACUGGGUAUCUUGAGUAUGGAAGAGGUAAGUGGAAUUGCGAGUGUAGAGGUGAAAUUCGUAGAUAUUCGCAGGAACACCAGUGGCGAAGGCGGCUUACUGGUCCAUUACUGACGCUGAGGUGCGAAAGCGUGGGGAGCAAACAGG